GGAGAGGUCGCACAGUUUGGCCUAGUGCGCGCGCUUGGAAAGCGCGUAGGCUGAUAAGGCCUCGUGGGUUCGAAUCCCACCCUCUCCG
rnacentral:tRNA from 1 species